ensembl:lncRNA
GGGGCACCGAGUGUGGGACCCACCAGGAUCUUCUGCAGGGAGGGAUGCCGGGGAGGUGGUUCCCAAAGGAAAGGAUGCUGGGGUGACAGACACCUAUGUCUCCUCUCUUGCGAGCCUUCUCUAACAUUCCCUGAAGAGUCAAGUGCUUCCUCCUAAGGGCUUCCAGAAGUCCUCAUUAAUAUCUCUCUCCCAGCUUGGGUUACUUUACUGUGUUUUUUGGAUUAUAUGUCUUCUCAUCCAUCGGAUGUAAGCUCCUAGAGAGCAGGGAUUUUGUUUAUCCUGGUCAUCUUCUGUCUGCCCGCUAUAGUCGCUCUCCACCCUUUUCACCCUGCUUGCCCAUGUGGAUGGUAUCACGGGACCCUGGGCCUGGUUUGGCCACUGGGGCUCCUCAGCAAGAGAUGAAAGGGAGAGAUGAGGGGGAGACUGAGAUGAUUAUCCCUCUGGCUCUUUCUCUGCAGGGUGACUGUGAACUGGCUGCCUCCCUGGACUGAAGGACUCAACACAGAGCCUUCCACACCACGGGCACUGAAUGCAUCCAGGAAUUAAGGACUGAUUAAGCAUCAGCUGGUUAGAGGAGUGUUGAGCCCUAUAUGGAAAAUGGACCAGCGGAGUAGCUUUCAAAUCUUUUUGGCAAGGCUCAUAGUAAAAAACAUAGCUCAUAUUGUAGUGCAGUAGACACAUACAUAUUUAUAUAUAACUGAAGGAGAAGUUUCUUGAGGCAAUGCUUCCCUUUAUGAUGUGUGAGGCACUGUGAUAUUUUCUACUUAAUUCUACUCUGUUUCAAAUUCGAAUCCUCGUUUUGGUCUGCUAAAUUGAUUUCAUGACCUGAAAAAUGAUUGCAAGCCAUGGCUUAAGAAGCUCUGCCCCGUGACCUUUAGCGUUGCCUCCAUUCUGGAGAGUCUGAUUCAGACGGUAGAAUUCUAAGGCAUCACAAAAGAGAAUGUGACAGUGUCACAGUGCUGAUGCAUUUGGUGGGAGUUGGCUUCAUUGCCUUGAAAAAAUCAAAUGAAAUUGCCAUUCAAUCUUCAGUUUUUCAUAGAAUUUUUACUCAAAGUUGGUCUUUUUUAGGUUUGGCCUAAUUUGGAGGAGGGAGUGGCUCAGAGCUCUUAAAACACGCUGACGUGAUGUGAGCAGUUUUAAGCAUCGGAUUCAAAAAGUCAGUGUCGGGGACCACAAGUCUGAGUGCUCCAGAGCAGGUCUGAAGUGGAAAGCUAAUCUUAUGUGCUUGCCUAAGGGUCCCCGGGUCUCUCCUCUGUGUCCUUGCUGCCACCAGCAGCUCCUUCUCCUCCUAGCAAAAGCAUUUCUUGGUGCCCUGGUUAUAUGUAGAACUCGACCAAGAGGACAACACGGGCCUAUCAGUGUCACCAGGGCCAUGCAAUCCAUUUGCGAUUAGAUAUUGUCUCACUGUUUCAAACUCAGCCCAGGUCUGUGGUCCUCCCCACCUCAAACACUGUAUGAUUCCAUUUUAAAAACUGAGUUCUAUGUUCUCUAAAAUUGACUCUCCGCUCCUAAUUCACCACUUGUCAUUCUCCUGGUAUCUGUCAAGUCAAGUUAGAAGGGUAGAAGAUGGUAACAGGCAUUAUUUCAUGGUGAUUCAGAAUCAAAUCCUUAAAGCUGGCCUUCAGCCAGACAUCACCUCCUUGCAAGGUUCUUGAGGGGGAGAAAUGUGGAAAAGACAAGCCCAGGUGGGUGGGCAUGCGACGAGACGGGGCUCGCAGAGCAGGCUUGGCGAGCCCUGCAGGCUGUCAUUCACUUAUUUAUUUGUCAUCAUUCUUUCAAAAAAUUCCUAUCAACGCUCACGAGAUGCCAGGUAUGGGGGAGAGAACAGUGAGUAAAACGGCGUCCCUAUCCUGGGGAAGCUCAUGUUCUGGGGAGGGAAUCAGAAAAGAGACAAAUAAAUAAAUCUAUAGAUACUACCAUAGGAGAUGGCGGUAAGUGCUGUGCAGAAAGUACGUCCAGCUAAGAAGUGUGUCAGACAGUGUGUGUGUGUGUGUGUGUGUGUGUGUGCACGUGGGACACAUUGUGUACAUGGGAACAUUAUUUUAGUUAGUGGUGUCAGUGUGGGCUCUUUGAGGAAGUGACAUUUGAGGAGAAAGCCGAGUGGAUUUGAGCCAAGGAAAUAUCUGGGGGAAAAGCAUCUGGUGAGAGGAUGACACACGAAGGCCUUGAGACCACGAAGAAGAGUCCUUAUGCCCAGGGGAGAGGCAGGCCUGGGGCCUCGAACCACAGCAGGCUGAGCAGCAUCCUCCGCACUUCUCCACCCCAGCCUGUGCCAAACAUUGACCACCUUUUUGACACAAAGACUGAAUGAUUUUUAAAAUUAUUUUUAAUUGCGGUAAAAUAUACAUAAUAAAAGUUACCAGCUUAACCAUUUUUAAGUGCAUAGUUCAGUGGCAUUAAGUACAUUCACAAUGACGUCAACCACCAUCACCAUCCAUCCACAGAACUCUUUGCAUCUUGCAAAAUUGAAACUCUAUACCUAUUACACAAUAAUUCCCCACCCCGCCUUCUCCCAGCCCCUGGCAACCACCAUUCUCCUUUCUGUCUCCAGGAAUGAACUUG